UACGUAGGUGGCGAACGUUGUCCGGAUUUACUGGGCGUAAAGCGCGCGCAGGCGGACCGAUAAGUCAGAGGUGAAAUCUCCCGGCUCAACUGGGAGGGGCCCUUUGAUACUGUCGGUCUUGAGAUGCCUAGAGGAGAGUGGAAUUCCCGGUGUAGUGGUGGAAUGCGUAGAUAUCGGGAGGAACACCAGUGGCGAAGGCGGUUGCCUGGAGCUUUGCUGACGCUGAUGCGCGAAAGCGUGGGGAGCGAUCCGG
rnacentral:rRNA from 1 species